AUGAACGCUGGCGGUCUGCUUAACACAUGCAAGUCGAACGGGGGUAGCAAUACCUCAGUGGCGGACGGGUGAGUAACGCGUGAGAAUCUGCCUUCAGGUUCGGGACAACCACGGGAAACGGUGGCUAAUACCGGAUGUGCUUUACGGUGAAAGAUUUAUCGCCUGAAGAGGAGCUCGCGUCUGAUUAGCUAGUUGGUAGGGUAAAAGCCUACCAAGGCGACGAUCAGUAGCUGGUCUGAGAGGAUGAUCAGCCACACUGGGACUGAGACACGGCCCAGACUCCUACGGGAGGCAGCAGUGGGGAAUUUUCCGCAAUGGGCGAAAGCCUGACGGAGCAAGACCGCGUGAGGGAGGAAGGCUCUUGGGUUGUAAACCUCUUCUCUCAGGGAAGAAGAAAGUGACGGUACCUGAGGAAUCAGCCUCGGCUAACUCCGUGCCAGCAGCCGCGGUAAUACGGAGGAGGCAAGCGUUAUCCGGAAUUAUUGGGCGUAAAGCGUCCGCAGGUGGCUCGCUCAAGUCUGCUGUCAAAGACCGGGGCUUAACUCCGGAAAGGCAGUGGAAACUGACAAGCUAGAGGGCUCUAGGGGUAGAGGGAAUUCCCGGUGUAGCGGUGAAAUGCGUAGAGAUCGGGAAGAACAUCGGUGGCGAAAGCGCUCUACUGGAGAGCAACUGACACUCAGGGACGAAAGCUAGGGGAGCGAAUGGGAUUAGAUACCCCAGUAGUCCUAGCCGUAAACGAUGGAUACUAGGCGUGGCUCGUAUCGACCCGAGCCGUGCCGUAGCUAACGCGUUAAGUAUCCCGCCUGGGGAGUACGCACGCAAGUGUGAAACUCAAAGGAAUUGACGGGGGCCCGCACAAGCGGUGGAGUAUGUGGUUUAAUUCGAUGCAACGCGAAGAACCUUACCAGGGCUUGACAUGUCCGGAACCCUGCUGAAAGGUGGGGGUGCCUUCGGGAGCCGGAACACAGGUGGUGCAUGGCUGUCGUCAGCUCGUGUCGUGAGAUGUUGGGUUAAGUCCCGCAACGAGCGCAACCCUCGUUCUUAGUUGCCAGCAUUAAGUGGGCACUCUAGGGAGACUGCCGGUGACAAACCGGAGGAAGGUGGGGAUGACGUCAAGUCAGCAUGCCCCUUACGUCCUGGGCUACACACGUACUACAAUGCGACGGACAAAGGGCAGCAAGCGAGCGAUCGCAAGCUAAUCCCAUAAACCGUGGCUCAGUUCAGAUCGCAGGCUGCAACUCGCCUGCGUGAAGGAGGAAUCGCUAGUAAUUGCAGGUCAGCAUACUGCAGUGAAUCCGUUCCCGGGCCUUGUACACACCGCCCGUCACACCAUGGGAGCUGGUUUUGCCCGAAGUCGUUACCCUAACCCGCAAGGGAAGGGGACGCCGAAGGCAGGGCUAGUGACUGGGGUG
rnacentral:rRNA from 1 species